GGUUUUUUGUUUAUAUAAAAAAUCUGGCCUGCCCAAUGAUUUUUUUAAUGGCUGCAGUAUUUUGACUGUACAAAGGUAGCAUAAUCAUUUGUCUUUUAAUUGAAGGCUGGUAUGAAUGGUUGGAUGAAAAAUAUACUUUCUUUAUUUUAUAUAAAAAAAUUAAUUUUUGAGUCAAAAAGCUUAAAUUAUGUUAUAGGACGAGAAGACCCUAUAGAGCUUUAUUGUUAUUUUUUGUAUUUGUUUUAGAUUUUUAUAAGAGUAUAUUUUUAUAAUAAUUUUGUUGGGGUGAUUGAAAAAAUUAUAUAACUUUUUCUGUUUUUUUCACUUAUUAGUGUUAUUUGAUCCUUUAUUAUGGAUAAUAAGACUAAGCUACCUUAGGGAUAACAGCGUUAUUUUUUUGGAGAGUUCUUAUCGAUAGAAAAGUUUGCGACCUCGAUGUUGGAUUAAAAUAAGUGACAGGUGUAGAAUAUUGUUUACUAGGUCUGUUCGACCUUUAAAUUUUAACA
rnacentral:rRNA from 1 species